GAUGAACGCUGGCGGCGUGCUUAACACAUGCAAGUCGAACGAGAAAUGUAGACGGAAACCUUCGGGCGGAAGCCUUCAUUUCGAGUGGCGGACGGGUGAGUAACGCGUGGGUAACCUGCCUCAUACAGGGGGAUAACAGUUUGAAACGACUGUUAAUACCGCAUAAGACCACAGCAUCGCAUGAUGCGGGGGUAAAAACUCCGGUGGUAUGAGAUGGACCCGCGUUCGAUUAGCCAGUUGGCGGGGUAACGGCCCACCAAAGCGACGAUCGAUAGCCGAUCUGAGAGGAUGACCGGCCACAUUGGGACUGAGACACGGCCCAAACUCCUACGGGAGGCAGCAGUGGGGAAUAUUGCACAAUGGGGGAAACCCUGAUGCAGCGACGCCGCGUGAGUGAAGAAGUACUUCGGUAUGUAAAGCUCUAUCAGCAGGGAAGAAAAUGACGGUACCUGAGUAAGAAGCCCCGGCUAACUACGUG
rnacentral:rRNA from 1 species